rnacentral:tmRNA from 1 species
GCUUUUCCUCAAGCUUAAUCCAAGACUAAGCUUGUAGACGUUCAUGGGUCAAUCUUCAGGACGCGGGUUCGACACCCGCCACCUCCACUA